rnacentral:rRNA from 1 species
CUACGGGAGGCAGCAGUGGGGAAUAUUGCACAAUGGGGGAAACCCUGAUGCAGCAACGCCGCGUGAGUGAUGACGGUCUUCGGAUUGUAAAGCUCUGUCUUCAGGGACGAUAAUGACGGUACCUGAGGAGGAAGCCACGGCUAACUACGUGCCAGCAGCCGCGGUAAUACGUAGGUGGCAAGCGUUGUCCGGAUUUACUGGGCGUAAAGGGAGCGUAGGUGGAUAUUUAAGUGGGAUGUGAAAUACUCGGGCUUAACCUGGGUGCUGCAUUCCAAACUGGAUAUCUAGAGUGCAGGAGAGGAAAGUAGAAUUCCUAGUGUAGCGGUGAAAUGCGUAGAGAUUAGGAAGAAUACCAGUGGCGAAGGCGACUUUCUGGACUGUAACUGACACUGAGGCUCGAAAGCGUGGGGAGCAAACAGGAUUAGAUACCCCGGUAGC